rnacentral:rRNA from 1 species
CCUACGGGUGGCUGCAGUGAGGAAUAUUGGUCAAUGGACGAAAGUCUGAACCAGCCAAGCAGCGUGCAGGAUGACUGCCCUAUGAGUUGUAAACUUCUUUUGUACGGGGGUAAAGCGCGAUACGUGUCCCGGGUUGUAUGUACCGUAUGAAUAAGGAUCGGCUAACUCCGUGCCAGCAGCCGCGGUAAUACGGAGGAUCCGAGCGUUAUCCGGAUUUAUUGGGUUUAAAGGGUGCGUAGGCGGUCUGAUAAGUUAGCGGUGAAAGGUCGGGGCUCAACCACGAAACUGCCGCUAAAACUGGGGGACUAGAGAAUGUUUGCGGUAGGCGGAAUGUAUGGUGUAGCGGUGAAAUGCUUAGAGAUCAUACAGAACACCGAUUGCGAAGGCAGCUUGCCAAGCUAUAACUGACGUUGAGGUACGAAAGCGUGGGGAGCAAACAGGAUUAGAUACCCCGGUAGUC